rnacentral:lncRNA from 1 species
GAACAUUUACUUGACGGGUUGUCACGGGGACAAAGGUUUCAUGUCUCUUGAGGAUAUACCAAGGGGCGGGGUUUCUGGGCUAUAUAUAAAGUCUCUGUUUGACAUUGGGAGACACUACCAAAGUACUGUCCAGAUGCCUGCUGUUUUACAUCCCCACCAGUCACCUGUAGGGACUCCAGAUUCUCCAGGGACCAAUGGGUACUUUCUUUGGUUUUGUUUUUGUUUUGGAAUUGGCUGUGAUGGUUUGUAUAUGCUCAUUCCAGGGAGUAGCACUAUUAGGAGGUGUGAACCUGUUGUGUAGAUGCGUCACUGUGGGUGUGGGCUAUAAGACCCUCAUCUUAGCUACCUGGAAGUCAGUCUUCCACCUGCAGCCUUCAGAUGAAGAUGUAGAACUCUCAGCUCUUCCUGCACCGUGCCUGUCUAGAUGCUGCCACGCUCCCACCUUGAUGAUAAUGUAUUGAACCUCUGACGCUGUAAGCCAGCCCCGGUGAAAUGUUGUCCUUUUUAAGACUUGACUUGAUUAUGGAGUGUGUUCAGCAGUAAAACCCUAAGAUAUUGGCCAUCUCAUUCGGUGUAAGUGGUAUCUCAUGGCUGUUGUGGGUUUUCCCAACCUAGACUGGUGCUGAGCAUCUUCUCUGAGUUUAUCACUGGUGUGACUUUAGAGAAACGUCUCUUGGAAUCUUCUGCCUGUAAUUGUGUUGACUUGGAAUUAAUAGUUCUCUGUGUGCUCAGCAUAGAAGCCCCUUGUCAGAUCCUGUCUUCUUCUGUUUCAAAUAAUAUCACAACAGACAGGGGAGUUUGUGAGUAAUGAGCUUUUUUUCUCACAAUUCUGCGUGUUAGGAGCUCAACUUGGUGUCUCUUGGGGGCUGGGCAGAGUUUGGAAGGAGUCAAUGUUGUAUCCUACCUGGCCUGAGAGCCCAGUGGUUGGUUUGUUUGUUUGUUUGUUUGUUUGUUUGUCUUUAACUUACAUGAGUUCCUCCUUCAUUCUUGAUGACUGGCUUCACAGGUGUAGAAUCUGGGUACACAGCUUGCUUUUAUGACUUAGCAAACACUGUCCCACUCUUUCUGGACCCUGGGUUUCUGACAGGGAGUCGUGUUUUCUUUCUGGUGAGCUUUCUGGGUGGCCAGUCAUGUCUGCCUCUGUCUCUGUCUCUGUCUCUGUCUCUGUCUCUCUCGCUCCAUUCUUUCCUAGGACUCUCUCUCUCUCUGUGUGCCCUUUGAGUAUGGUGUCCCUAGGUUUGAAUCUCCUUGAGUGUAUCUUUCUACGAUCUUGCCGAGUUUCUCGGAUGUAAAGAUGAAAGCAUUCAUCAAAGUUUGGAGGUCGGGCUCAUCCUUCAAUGGUUCCUUUCCUGUAUGCGACUUGCCCAGUGCAUGUGCUGAUGGUGUGUCUGAUAGAGUUCCCUGGUAUUUGAAGCUGACUUUUCAGGUCUUUCCUACUCCUUUUUCUUUCCAUUUUUCAGACUGUAUAGCCUGAAGAGAUACAUUAAGUUUCUUGUCUGCAGAGGAGAGCCUUUCAGGACUUCCGCAUUGCUGUUACUGUGCUUGGCUUCAAUGUCUUGUUCUCGUUAGCAUACUGCUUUCCUCAUUCAGUGAGACGCCGUCACAUCGUUUCUUUAAUGCCCGAGGUGUGACUUCCUUUAGUUCUGAGUUCAUAUUUGCUCACUCCUGAUUCUGAUGCACCUUCGACGGGCACAUUGAGAAUUUGACAUUUUAAGUAUUACACUGUAAGAGCCAUGGGAAUCAGAUUUCCCCCUCUGGGUUUAUUGCUACUUCUUGUUGCAAUUCCUCUGCCACCCUUGUUCCUUUCCUAGACUGAUUCCAUGGUCUGUGUUCCCUGCCUUGUAUGGGCACUGAAGUCUGUGUGUGCAAUAGAUCACUACACGCCAGGUAGAUUCAGUGAUUCCAUCCAUGCUGGGUCCUGUCCUUUCUCCUUGCCAUGUGUAUCGGGAAUGUGUCUGACACUCCAACAGACUGAAUUCUGUUCUCCUAAGGCUUCCUUUCUGGCUUAGGCAGAAGGCCAGGGUCAGCCUCCAGGAUCUUUCAGACCUGUCCAGGCUUAUGCACUCUUAUCUAGAACAUAUGCACGUGGCCUCCUGUAUCACACAGAUAUCUUAAAGGUUUGGGGACUGUGGUUACACCAUACCCACUUCUUCCUUUUAGGUUUCAUUAGGGCUGAUAUGGCCACUCCAGACACGCUUCCCAUACCCAUGUUCCUCUGGGUUAUUUGCAAGGUCACCUGGGCAGCUGUAAUGCCGUCCAUCCCCCAUUCUCGCAGUGUCCAUCUGAAAUGGCAUCCCCUCUCAGAGCAGUCUACAACCCCUGGUCUAUUUUCAUUAAAUCUCAAAUGUGUCGGUAACUUCCUCUGUGGUUUUCGUUUCCAUGGUGACAGCAUUUCUCCUUAUCCUAAGAUUGUUGAGAUAUUCUUUUGUUGUUAUAGUCUCUUAAAAACAUUUCUUUUAUUUUCAAUUACAUGUGUGUGUUGAUAGCACAGGUGCCCGCCUCCCCCUUGCCCUCCAAAGCCAGAAAGGGUAUCAGGUCCCCUGGAGCUAGAGUUACAGGCAGUUGUGUGCUGCUCUCUGUAGGUGCUGGGAUCCGAACUCAGGUCUUCUACAAGAGCAGUAUGUUCUCUUAACUGUGAAGCCCAGCUCUCCAGCCCUGUCUGUUUUCUUUUUCAUAUUCUGUAGCUGUCAUUCUUGUUUCUCAAAUAGAAUUGACUUUUAUGUGACACAAUGGGGCUUAUUUGCAUUCAUGUUCUAUCAUGUAUCAUGAAUUGAGCUGUCUGUUCCUAUUGCCUAAAUCGGGGGCCAGAUCUUUGGAUAUAGGUAGGAACCUUUGCGUGUUUUAUUUUAUGCUGCUGUUGGUGGUUUAGACUGUGUCAGCUGUGUCUAAUUGGUCUGGUAUGGACUUUGGGUCUUCUGUGAGAUUUGUAGAGCAAUAGAAAAAGAUCCAGCAAGAAUCCUGAUAUUCCCCACGCCCUGCCACCAAACAAUUCUGAAAUCAUAGCGCAGAUCUUCCUCACUGUAUAUGACAAAGUUUUAUAGUAUUUUUUCAUAUAAAUCUUAAUACAUCUUUGAUUAGAUUCAUUCCCAAACACUAUACUUGUGAAACUACUAAAAAAUAAUAAUAUUUUUAAAAAUGUUAUUUCCCAAUUGUUUCAAGUGGAUAAGGAGAAAAUCUCUUUUUAUUUCCCUGUGUAUACUUUAUAUAUUAAUUCCGUGUCCACAAACUUUACUAAAAAUGCUCUUAUUAUCUCUGGGUUCAAGGUGAGACCUAAUGCUACGAUAAAUACUAGGAUCUCCCUGUCUUG